UGCAGAGAUUUUCCAUUAGAAUGCAUUACGCAUCCAGGCAGACCAUGGAAGGGGAUUCAGGCGGACUCCAAAGAAGUAUACCGGGAAUCACUACUUGGCUGUCAGGUCUUCAGCUGACCAUUGCCAUGCCCACGACCGGCUGAAUUUGGUGAAAAUAAAAGGAACACAAAUGCCAGCUGCAGUGGAAGUUCUGGUGGUUUGGUGGUGAGGAGGGAAGCCAGGCACAGUGUAAUCACUGCUCACAUGUCAAUCCAGACUGAUCAGCUCUGUCACUGCUUUUGGAUGGAAACAGUUUUUUCUUCCCUGUGCGGAAAGCAGAAGCGGUCAGCCGCAGCUGCCCUUUUCCUGUCUUUGUUGUUAAAUGACAGAAAUAUUUAGAAUCUAUUUUCCAUUUUAGUUAUGUUUAUUUAAAAAUGGAUCAUCCGAAAUGAAAUUUCUUCUGCUGAAUGAAACUCACGUCCAUCACAGCUUUUUUUUGUUUUGUUUUUUUUAAGGCUCAAACUGAUUUCAAAACAUUUUAAAAUGUAGGACUUGCAGUAUUUUAAAAAUAAAUUAUGCAUGUCAGAGAAAACAGACAUAAAUUUUCAGUGACUAAAACAUGUAUUCCCAGCCGUAACUUCAGAAGAUUUUUUUUAUUUGAUUUUGCUGAGGAGAAACCACAUUUCUUUUUUCAUUUGUUUAACCAAUGUAUCCAUAUGGUACUCAUGUCCAUUUCCAUAAAAGUUAUAAAACCAAGAUGCUUUUGCAAACUCAACUUCAGAGAUUGACACUUAAACCGCACUAUGAUAUGUCUGUACACAGCUAUGGAUAUGUAUCUUGUCUAAUGUGUCUUCUUUUGUACCCAUAUGUGAUCACUAAUAGAAAAUAAAAGUACGGGGAAAAAUGAGCUGCAAUGAUUGCAACUGAGUUCUUAUAUUAGCAUAUAAGUGUCAAUGGACACUUGCAGAUAAGUGUUUCAGUAGAAAUCACUGCAAACCAUUACAUUCCUGGGGACAGUUUAACUGUCAUAAAAAAUAGUUUUAAAGAAAACCAAACAUUGCACAGCAAAGAUUAAUGAUUAAUUCUCACCCGAGAGGUGAUGCUAUAUGAGCCUUUUUAGAACAGAGGCUUCGUAAUUCACAGGUUCUGUCUGCAUUUAGAAAUUCAAGGACAAAGCAAGAAAAGUGAGAGGGAAGACUAAUUAUUGGAGGCAGGUGUGGUAUAAUGUGUCAUAAACAAAUGAGGAAAAAGAGAGUGAUGGAACAAAGGGUACAAAGAUAGAAAUGUCAAACAUUAGCAUGUGCCAAGUCAUCUGUUGUUGUCUUUUGAUGGUUAUGACACUUGUGAUAAUUAACAAAAGCUUAGUGGAAGGCAUUUACAACAAAUCACGCUACCUUGAUUCUUUGACAGUUUUCAUGUGGGUUUAGAACAACUUUUCCCAGAAAACAAGUUUGUCUCAUUCUUUGAAAAGCCUUGGUGGAUUUUCUCUUUUUAAAUUGCCUCCAUUUACUGCGAAGCCACAGUUAGUGCACAGUAGAGCAAGCUUUCACCAUAUCGCUGACAUUUGUUGUUAUGACAUGAAUUUACGCUUUGAAAGCUUCUUUAUUAGGAUCCUUAGAGUCAUACAGUAUACAAGGGAUCUUAGAUGAGAUGAUCUGACCGCUGACCUCCUCUUGAACUUCAGUAGAGAUAACUUUGUUUAGAAGAGAUGGCAGUAGGUUCACUAGAAACCGCUGCAGUCAAUCAGUAUGUUUAGUAAUCUGAUUCGCUGCUGCAGGGAUGAACGAAUGCCCUGCUGCUGAACUGGAGUGCACAUGUCUGACCUGUUAUGCCAAAUAUUUGCUCUACAUUUCAUUUCAACAUUUUCCUAACAAAUGUGAAAUUAUUUUGAAGUCCAAGUCAUAACGAUCAUUGGCAUAUUGACAAUAUGUCUUGUAAGCUAGUGGCUCUCAAACUGUGGGGUGGGCCCUCUUUUGGGGGCACAGGGCCACUGCAGGGUGCUAUUGAUGACCUGGGGUAGUUAUGGAGUAAAACUGAGUUGAAUGAAUAGAACUUUUGUAAGGAAAUUACAAUGUAUCUAUAUUUAACUAAAGUUAACAAUUAUGUUGUGUGGGCCAUAAACUUUUUUCACUGCUGGAAAGGUGUUACGCCAGAACCUGAAGGCAUCACAGUCUGAGGAAAUCCACAAAAAACAAAUUUGAUAUUUAUAUACAGCCUGCUGUAAAUUGAUGUUGUAUCUAGUUGUUGCAUAUGUCUCUCCAUGUUUUAUCUUAAUUAAAACUGUGAUAAGGAAAACAUCAAAUGCUUUAAAAUGUAAAGGAUGACAAAAUAAAAUUCAAGAUUUAUUCAUAUUUAUGUGAUGUUGGUUUAAGUAUUGUUCUGAUUUGACAUUUUUACAUUGUAUAUGAAAAGUUUUUUCUUGCUGUAUUUUUUAUUUCGCAAUUGCAAUAAAAAAAAAGUAAAGGGAUCUCUCAGAAUUAAUUCUGAAACACUUUGCAAAACACUUUCUUAAGAAAUGAAUUGAUUUGCUAUUAACUGGGUGGCCAAGUGAAAGAGGUAAGUGGAAUGCUGCAGCUUUUAUCACCUUCAUUGACAUACCAUAUGA